CCUACGGGAGGCAGCAGUGGGGGAUAUUGCACAAUGGGGGGAACCCUGAUGCAGCGACGCCGCGUGGGUGAAGGAGCGUUUCGGCGCGUAAAGCCCUAUCGGCAGGGAAGAAGGAGGACGGUACCUGACUAAGAAGCCCCGGCUAACUACGUGCCAGCAGCCGCGGGAAUACGUAGGGGGCAAGCGUUAUCCGGAUUUACUGGGUGUAAAGGGGGCGCAGACGGCAGCGCAAGCCAGGAGUGAAAGCCCGGGGCCCAACCCCGGGACUGCUCUUGGAACUGCGCGGCUUGAGUGCAGGAGGGGCAGGCGGAAUUCCUGGUGUAGCGGUGAAAUGCGUAGAUAUCAGGAGGAACACCGGUGGCGAAGGCGGCCUGCUGGACUGCGACUGACGUUGAGGCCCGAAAGCGUGGGGAGCAAACAGGAUUAGAUACCCCGGUAGUC
rnacentral:rRNA from 1 species